ACGCUCGACACCUACGGGAGGCAGCAGUGGGGAAUAUUGCACAAUGGGGGAAACCCUGAUGCAGCGACGCCGCGUGAAGGAAGAAGUAUCUCGGUAUGUAAACUUCUAUCAGCAGGGAAGAAAGUGACGGUACCUGACUAAGACGCCCCGGCUAACUACGUGCAAGCAGCCGCGGUAAUCUGAGGCGGGCUGGCAAGGC
rnacentral:rRNA from 1 species